rnacentral:rRNA from 1 species
GACGAACGCUGGCGGCGUGCUUAACACAUGCAAGUCGAACGGUGAAAGCGGAGCUUGCUCCGCUGGAUCAGUGGCGAACGGGUGAGUAACACGUGGGCAACCUGCCCCUCACUUCGGGAUAACUCCGGGAAACCGGGGCUAAUACCGGAUAUGACCUCCUUGGGCAUCCUUGGAGGUGGAAAGUUUUUCGGUGAGGGAGGGGCCCGCGGCCUAUCAGCUUGUUGGGGAGGUAGGGGCUCACCAAGGCGACGACGGGUAGCCGGCCUGGGAGGGCGACCGGCCACAGCGGGACGGAGACACGGCCCAGACUCCUACGGGAGGCAGCAGUGGGGAAUAUUGCGCAAUGGGCGAAAGCCUGACGCAGCAACGCCGCGUGCGGGAUGACGGCCUUCGGGUUGUAAACCGCUUUCAGCAGGGAAGAAGCCGCAAGGUGACGGUACCUGCAGAAGAAGCACCGGCUAACUACGUGCCAGCCGCCGCCGUAA